UGCGAAUUAUUAUUGAAUUAUUGUCGAAAGGUAACUACCUAAUUAUUUUUAUUGUAUUUGAAUGUUGAGUAAUUUAAAUGUAAUUAUAUUUCUAGUUUGAAAGUUUUAGGCGUAUGUGCGUAAACUAGGUAUACAUGGUUAUCUACCUUAGUUAGGUACCGAUCUACCGAGUAAUUAGUAAUAGGUACGUACAUAAUAUGAAUCCAUUUUAUUUUGGAAAUACAGUGUAAUCUCGAUAACCCGAACCUCGUUAAGUCGUACGAGUACUUAAAAUAAGUACUUAAAUCGAAAAAACGCGGUAAAUAUAGAAUUAUUUCGACUCCGUAACUCGAACAAAAUGUUAAUUCCCUGUGAGCUAUUGAUAGUAGUUACUUAUUUAUACUCGAAUUUCAAAGAGCAGACUCCGUAAAUCGUAAUUAGCAAAAUUUAUAAUGACGUGUUACUUGGAUUCUCCCGAACUCAUAGCAAUAAAAAACAAAAGAAAUGUUUGGGUCUUCUAUCUAUUGUUUGUGCUUUGCACAAGUUGUACACGUGCAACUCGUGCAAGGAAUGGACGCAUUUAUUAAACUUUCUAAGUAACACAGCUGUGUUCGUUAUUUUUAUUCACUAUCUGUCAGCUAUCGGUCAGUAUUUAUUUUACUAUUAGCUUGAUAACAAAUAAAGAAGCCAGAGCAGCAAUUAACACUAUGAACUUAUGUUGAAAGGUGUAAUGAGAAGUUUUUCAGAAAAUAGUGUCCCCAAUUAGCGAGAGUAGAGUUUGGCUAAUUAAAGUUGAACCUGCGAAAACGUGGCAAUU